rnacentral:rRNA from 1 species
UGAACUUAAGCAUAUCAAUA